AGUUCACAGAUCAAACAAUGGCGGCCACUUUCGUGGUUCAGAUAUGACCGGCCCCAGCCUAUAUGGUUGGCGAUUCUUGCGGAACCUGCGGAAGGAU
rnacentral:rRNA from 1 species